GAUCCUGGCUCAGGAUGAACGCUGGCGGCGUGCCUAACACAUGCAAGUCGAGCGAAGCGUUUUAAAGGAAGUUUUCGGAUGGAAUUUGAAAUGACUGAGCGGCGGACGGGUGAGUAACGCGUGGGUAACCUGCCUCAUACAGGGGGAUAACAGUUAGAAAUGACUGCUAAUACCGCAUAAGCACACAGUACCGCAUGGUACAGAGUGAAAAAACUCCGGUGGUAUGAGAUGGACCCGCGU
rnacentral:rRNA from 1 species